rnacentral:tRNA from 1 species
GCUUCCGUAGUUCAAUGGUAGAAUAACGCACUUGUAAUGCGUGGGUUCACAGUUCGAGUCUGUGCGGAAGCUCCA